GCUGGAAACUAUCAGCUUACCUUUUCCGGUGCGCAGGAACGCUGUACGCGCUCCAGAUGCGCCGACUUCACUGCCUUAAGGCUGGAGAAGAGCUCUUUCUUGGUGCUUUCAAAAGAUCUCCGAAGUGAAUCCUUCAUAAUGAAGUUCAUAACCGCGGCAAAUACCUUAUCUCUGAGCUGCUGAACACGAGUGGGCCCAAAGAUUAUUUUCAUCAUGACGGUGAUCAAGACAAACCACCCUAAUAUGAAGACAAUGGAGUCUGUAAGACAACGUAUCCAGCACCACAUCUUGCCGAGACGAUAUCUGAAAGAAAGCAAACUCUUUGAACAUAUCAGAAAUUGAUGAAAAUGCCGGGCCUGGACGUCCGUUCAUAGUACAGGAAGAAACCAAUACUUCCGCGCAUUGGCUGGCAUCACGUAUAUAUAACGUUCCGAAUUGGUUUAAUUGACUGUGGCAACAAUCACAUCAACAAUGCUCACCGCCCACCACCUAAUAGUUCAAGGACUGUACGAGGAUUUGCUUGUCUGUUUCGGGCUGGAGAGAGUCUGUUAAUGAAUAUACUUUCCGAAAUUUGAA